rfam:Oryza barthii chromosome 7, whole genome shotgun sequence.
AAAAAGACAAACCCUGGGUUUGCGUGUCCAACUUUGACUGUCCGUCUUAUAUGAAAUUUUUUUAUAAUUUGUAUUUUUAUUGUUGUUAGACGAUAAAACAUGUUUAAUACCUUGUGCGUGACUUGUUUUUUUAAUUUUUUUUAUAAUUUUUUUAAAUAAGACGGACGGUCAAACAUUGGGCACGGAAACCAGGGUUUGUCUUUUU